GAGUUGGAUUUUAAGAGGCAGAGAAAAUUGGCAAAACAUAAAAGACUUCAACUAGCUGUAUAUCAACUCAUCAAUAGCACAGUACAACAAAGCAGAGAGAUGUUUUAUUAACAUUUCAAGUGGUUCUUGUUCCACUGUUCUAAGAAGAGGCUAUUCUUUAUUUAACCUUUGUUGAAGUAGGAGUGAUCUCAAGAAGCAACAGUGGUACAGACACCAAAUACAAGAGGACACAUCUUCAUUGCAUGUAGCAAUAAAGGAUGUCAUAGAAUGAAGAAUAUGGCUAAAUACUGUUCAUCCAGGAUAAAGAAGAAGGAGGAAAGAGACCAAACUGAAGAUAUACAAAUACUUAACUGAGAUAAUGUUUAUGACCUCCUACACAAGAGCGAUCAGCAAUCAAAGAGGAAGAACUUUAUCCUGUGAUUCAAUGAAGUGUAGUGUUUUUACUUAAAUGUUGCUUAUUGGGUUUUGAAGGAGUGAAAAAAUGCAGAAAACUUGAGGAACAUAAGAUAUGUGACAUUACAGAGAGAAUAUUAGUCAGAAUACACGUUCCAUCCCUUCCAAGAGGGCUACUGAUUAGGAACUCCAAGAUUUACAGAGGUCUUGUGGUACUGAAAGUACUUAAGAGGACCCUUUCAAAACUAUACAUUGGCUUGUCAAUCAAUAGAUUGAUGGAGUGGAAGAAGUGGAGUCACAAAGAAAGCCAAAGAACCGGUGAAAGAAAAGGAAGGAGUAAAAAGGGGGGAGAAAGAAAGAAAUUGAAGAGAACAUGA
rnacentral:lncRNA from 1 species